UUUUUUAUCUGGUAUAAACUUUUAAAAAGAAAGAACCAGUCCCCUGUGGAGAAGCAUUUAUAUGAGCUGACAAGAAUCAUCCUCUCUUUUCAGGUUCCAAAAAGUGGUGAUUUCAGUGCAGGAAGGUGAGACUUGUCUCCAAGACCUUUUUCUCUUGGGGCUGCAGAAACAGCAGUCAACUUCUUUGUGGCCUAAAUUAGCUGAGGAUAAAGAAAAAUCAACACUCUGGGGAAAAUUCUGUGGGAAACAAAAAGAGGGAGAGAAAAAGAAUCUUCACUUGAAAAAAACCAAACUUUUUAGAAUAAAACAAACUUUUCAAAAUGAAAUUGAUUUUUCAAUUUCUGAGACUUUUAGGCUAAAAAAAAAAAGGUGUCUUUUCCUAUUAAGAAAAUUGCUUUCACUUUCCUGCAAUGAAGAGAGUUUUUAACGAUGGGAGAAGUUGAGUGUAGCUGCUGAGGAGCUGAAGUGGGGAUCCAGCUAUCAAUGCGUCACCAGCUAAAUGUGAUUUGAGAUGCAGUUUGCUUUUCUGUAUCUCAGAUCUCAGGGCUAAACCACAAACUGUACAUGACACAACUAAAUUAAUAUUUAAAAAUAAUUACUUGCUGCCUGAAGGUAAACAGAAAAAGGGUAAAUAAUUGAUAGCACUGGGACUGCCACACUGUAACUCUGCUGAGCGUUUAUGAUGUGCUGUGAAGGUUCAAAGGGAUUGCUCGUCUGCUGCCUCUGAAGGAGGGUUUUUGCUAAUCAUUCCAGGGCUUGUUUUGUCAGCCAGCAAUGUUUUCAGAGUUUGAAGCACCAGAAUAGAAUGCCAGCUUAAUUUAGCCCAUCAACAUCUGAAGGGAAAUUUUAUGUGGUCUGCUGCCAAGAAUGUAGAGUAACUUGCAUUUAAGGAGUUGUUACAUAACAUGCCACCCUAUGACAAUACCUGUCUGCAGAGCCUGGUGAUGCCUUGAGAGUUGGUGGCUCUUCUGUUUCCAGUGAUAAAAAUCCAUCCUCUUACAGCCCAACACAAGAAUAAUCAGUAUUCAAAGUGGCAGAUGACUGUAAAGAAAGCACGUGUUUGUUCACUUUUGGUCAAGCUUGACUGAAGGAAUCUGGGUUUUCUGCCAUUGUGGGGGAGUUUUGCAGUGCAGCUUCCUCAGAGGUUCAACCUGGCAGGCGCCAGAGGAAAAGGACAGUGUCUGCAGAGCGAGAGCAUUCCCACACUGCUCUUCCCCUCUUCCACCUUGUCCAUCUGCUCUGCUUCUGGAGGGUGAGCUGGAAAACAGCAGUGCCAAUGGUAAUCAUUUGCUGAGAGAGAUUCACAGUGCUGAAGAACCCUGAGAAUUUUAAUUACUCACAAGUACCACAGGAUGCAUUGCUUUGAGCAGCCACUGGAAUAGAUUAUCCUUACAUGUACAACAAAGAACCUGGGAACUAUUCACAGGCAGGUAAAACAGGGAAUAUUGAAAGAGUAAAAGGAGGGAGAGUGUUGACAUGAGUGAAAAGAGGAGGGAAAUACUGGGCUCAGUGCCUGAUUCCUGAUCCCUAAACUUCUUACUAUAGUAUUGUGAAAGUAAGGAGGAAUAAACCUAACACCACAGCUCCUCCAUCAAGAAACUAUUAUUAAUACAGUGCAGCUAAGGUAAUUAACCAAAUCAGACUUAGUCCAGUGCUGAAAGGGAUUUCUUCCCCCAGGGAUAAGCAGAUGUCUCAAUCUAAUUAUACAAGUUAUUUAAUCAGAACCAGAGGUCGGGUAUCUAAUGAAAAUACUUCAUAGUGUUGGGGGGAAGCUGCAGCUCUGAAGCAGUGCAAAGGGGGUCCACAAACUCCCACACCAGUGCAGUUUCUAAUGUUCUACCUUUAAGUUACUGUACAUAACUUUAGGACCUCAGGAUAAGAAUUUGAAAGAAAAAAGAACACAUUCUAGCAAAAGUCAGUGUCACUGCCCAGCAUGGAAAGAAAAUUCUUCCCAAAAUGUCGCUGGUGCUCCACCCAGCUAGAGUGCUGACACAGGAACAAACAGCUGUUUGCUCUGAGGCAGCUGCCAGGUCUGUAGUACCGUUCUGUGAGCCUUGCCUCACCCAGAUAAGAACUGCAACAGGUGUCUAAACCUGCCCAGAGCCCAGGCUUGCCAGCAGUGGGGGUGCAGCUGGUAGCAGCACAGGCUGACAGGGAAGUGCUCACUGUGCUCACUGUGCUCUCAGGGACAGGCAGAGCCCCUGAACCCACGAUCCUUGGGAUACACAGGUGUCUGAAAAGCAAGUGGAGUUCCAUUCCCACUGGGAAUGCUGUGCUGCUGCCAUCAGCACUUCCUGACAGUCACAGACUGGGGCACAUCCAAGCUGCCAGCCCCAGCAGGUAAAAAGAAAAUUUUCUGUGCUGCUGCUGAGAAUUUUGUUGAGAAAGUUGUAGGAAAUGUUGACCCAAAUAAGUGGGACUGGGAAGAAAGGAGUCCAGAACAGUAGCCAGAGUGAAGAGAUGACACAUCAUUGCACCAUGACUGGAGAGAAAGACCAGAUCCUGAGGGCCUGUUGACUGCAGUGGGAGUUUGAUGGCCCACAGUACAGUUAACAAAAUACAAGAAAUACAAGUUGUGGCACUGAUCAGAGCUUAGAUGAGACAGUCCUGUAAGCAGUCUGAGAAGUCCUGGGUACAUGCCAGUAAACAACUUGCAACACACAGGAACAAAGAGAAAAUUGACUUUGAACUCUGCUGUCCUACAUCCACAAUCACAGAAUAACAGAAGAAGCUGAGUUGGAAGGGACCCACAAGGAUCAUCAAUUCCAGCUCCUGGCCCUGCACAGAACCAUCCCCAAGAGUCACACUAAAUGUCUGAGAGUGUUGUCCAAACACUUCUUGAUCUCUGUCAUGUUUGGUGCUGUAACCGCUGCCCUGAGGAGCCUGUUCCAGCACCCAGCCACCCUCUGGGGCAGAACCUUUUCUUAACAUCCAACCAAAACCUCCCUGACACAGCUUCAGGCCAUUCCCUCCGGUCCUGUCACUGGUCACCAGAGAGAUCAGCACCUGCCUCUCCUUUUCCCUCAUAAGAAAGCUGUAACUGUGAUGAGUCUCCCCUCAAUCUCCUCUCCUCCAGCUGAACAGACAAAGUGAGAUCAGCUGCUCCUCACAGAGCUCCCCUUCAAGGCCCUUCACCUUCUUCAUUGCCCUCCUUUGGACACUCCUUCAUAGCCUGCUUUCUUGUACUGCAGUGACCAAAACUGCACACAGAACAGCUGCAUUUUCACACGCUGUAUAAAUAAUAUCACUCCUUCCAUCACCUUGUGCCUGCUCCACACCAAACACCCAAGCAAUCUGCCCAUGAAUAAAACCUAGCUGCCUGUGCAGAGCACAGUGGCUUGUGGCUUCAGGACCCGUGCAAAGCCAUGUCUGCAGUGUCCACUGGGGGAUGGCACCCAGCUGGCUCCUGUGACACAGCAGGAGCCACUCCUGCCUCAUCAGCAUUACAGUCCAGUGGGACACAGCCUACAUUCAGUCCUCUGCCUUCUUUGAAGCACAAAUAGUGUAUGAAAAGGAGAUUGAGGAACAGCUCUUUCCUAAGACUUGCCCACUUGCCAGCUCUGUGGAGCUGUGACAAUCUCUGCUUGAGAAGAUUUCUCUUCUAGAAGCAAAGCUGUGUGUAUCUGUCAUUUCACAUGUGAUGAUCCCUCUUUGAAAAUUCAACUAACUGAAGUCAGUUCAGUUGGAAAGGUGGACAGCUCAGGGUUUUUCUUUAUAGGGAGCAGCAGAAUGCAAGUUUGAGAUCAGGCAGUGAAGCAAGGUUGUGACAGUAACUCCAGUGAAUGUCCAUUGUCACUGGAACCAGCAGAAACUAUUCUCUGAGGACAGUGCAUGUCCCUAAGGCAUGUGAUUGGGAAGGGGGGCUGCAGCCAGAGGCACUGCCCUCCUGGCACUGGCCAUGCUCCAGGCUGAAAGCAAACUUGGAAUUAAUGUCUCUUCCCAUCCAGGUCUGUGGAGAGAUUUUACAGGCGUCAGUGGCAGCAGGAUCAGAGUAGAAUCUUAAGACUCUUCCCUGGAGCUCAGAGGAGUUUAAUGGAAUAAAGUCUAAGUUGUAAUUAAUUGGCUUCUACGUCUCCUACAGGAAAGAGUUAAUGAAGGCACAGCUUGUCUGGCCGAGGGGCUGGGGAGACUCCUGUAGGCUGACUCAGAGGUGGAACACCCUGCCAGGGCACCGAGCAGGCUCCUCUUCCUCAGCUCCUCCUGCCCCAGCUGCAGCAGUGUCAAUCUGUCCAACAGCGUGGCUGGAAAGGUCUGUCCCCUGCAGCACCUGCUCUUCUCACUCAGUUCAAUGCCCUUGGUUUGCACAAGAAAACUUUGUCCUCCAGGUGAGACAUCCAGCUGUGUUUUGAUGUUUCCAUGGUGAUUAUGGACCACCUCCAUAAGUGCUCUGUAUGGGACUGAAGGAAGCACAGGUUAAUAAAACUACUUAAAUUACUAAUGAAACUGCCAAAGGGAGGGCAGAAACCUGUAGGCUGCUGAGAAGCAACACACAAAGAGAAGUUAGUGGGUGAGUUGGUCAAAGAUGAGCCUCAGAACUGGCCAGGUUUGAUAUUUUCAUCAUUGAGCUUGGCUCAAAAAGAGAUGAAGAAAUGAAAUUUUUUGGUGGCACCAUCAAUACAAAAGAGCACUUAGUGAGAUGCUGUCCCAGGCUUUAUCUUCCACCCCAGUUGCUCACCACUUCCCUUUCCCUGAGAAUGGGAGCAGUGAAGAGCCACCAGCAGCAGCAGCUCUCUGCAGCUGAAUUCCAGGCCCCUGUUCCAGUGUGAGCACAGCCAGGUUCACACUCAGUGUGCUGGGGUGAGGGCAGGGAGAAGCAGAGUAAUCUGAAGGUUGGUGCCUGAUUCCUGUUCUCCAGAAGCACAUCUUCACCUGAGAAAUUAAUUUCAUCAAAAAAUGAUGUUUUCCUUCCUUCUGAACUCACCUUCUGCCUCAGUUAUCACAAAAGGGCUGAUGAAAAUUCACCAAAAGUGCAACAAUUAUGACACAGGGACAGUUCAGGCAGAGGAAGGACUCUUGGUCUUGAGAAUAACCUGAAUUACACCACUUUAAAUCCAUACUGGCAAAACAUAAAUAUAUGGAUUAGCACCAAUACAGCAGAUCAAAGCCUGAGGUGGAGAGUUUAAGCCAGGCAUAAUUUGUAGUAAAAACAAAAUUACAGGGAUUCAUCCCUUCAUCUCCCUACACUUGCACCUCAGCCUUGCCACAAAGAAAAUUUCUGCCUCCCUGUUUUUCUGUAUCUGUGCAUUUCUCAAAACAUCUCAGUUUGGGAAGCCAACCUGGGAAAUGUGGGGACAGAUCUGGAACUGUGCAUCAUUACAGUAACCAGUGUGGAGAGGGGUGAAUAAAGGAACACUCAUUUCCUGCACCAAAUAUGACUGGAAAAUGUAAAAAUGAACCAUUCUCUGUACAAUUCCCCUUCCUCAGCAAUCAGCCUUUGCAGAUUUCUGGACAAGCACAGGAGAGUUCCUGACCAGGUGCAGGUGUGGUGAUUCCUGAGCUCCUGUUAGUGCAGCCCAGUGAAUAUCAGCUGCUUCUGCUCCAUGUUCCAGUUGAUAUUAGAUGACAAAAUCAAGUGAUGCCACAACCAUGGGCACCUUCAUCUGCUGAAUGCAUAAUCUUUCCUGCUGAACCCCACCAAACUCACCCCCAGGUCUUAUCUGUUCUAAACUGAGUAUUUAUUAUGUGGUUGCUUUAUGUAAACUGCAGAGAUCCUCAUCAACUAGAAACCAAAAACCUUCAUUAUUAAGGUGGAACUGAGCUGAGAACACACAGAGUGAAAUCACCAACCUCCUGUGUUAUUUUGGGAAGAAACACUCAGUGCCUGGGGCAGCUGGUGCUAAGCCCUCCUGAUACCCCUGACCUCACUCAGGGAUGACUCUGGGUUUAAGGUGAAGAUUUCUUCUGGCCAUUAUGCAGAGAUAGGAGAGACUUCCCCAGGGUGAGGGGGGCAGAGCUCUCCAGGGCUGGUGGGCAGGGACAGCAGCAGCAGCAAAGGAGAAGAGAGGACACUGAACCCUGCCCCAGCAAACCAGAAAAAUCCCAUUUUGCUUUUGGAGAAGGGCUGGGCCAGAUGGAAGAGGCCAGGGCAGGCAGCUGCUCACCAGCCAUCACUCUCCUUUCUGCCUGCAGCACCACCACAGCUGGGUGACCACACAGCUGGGAGCUCGGGGCAAGGAUGUUUUGUGCACACAAAACUCCACAGCACUUGAAUGCUGGCAUUCAUUGAGGGUAAAUACCAACAUUCCUGUGCUUCUGUGCUCUCAUUUAUAUUAUAAAUGCUAAUCAAAGAGUUUGAAGCAAAAGACACUCAGAGAAUUCAGAAUGUACGGGCAGCAAACGUAUUUCUCUAAAGCUGGAAAUUAAUUCUCUUUUCCCUUUCUUACUUUUACUGAAUCCCAUAUAGAUUGACCCAACUACCAGAAUUGCAAAACUCAGACUCCACCAGCCAAGACUCAUAACAUUUUGUUCCUAAGCAAUGGGUAGUUGCAAAGACAAGGUAACAUUUCAGAAGGUAAGAAAUCAGUCUCCAAAAUUCACACUUCUGAAUAAUCAGCUUUUCAAAAGCAGCUUGUUCUCCACAGUAAAGAACAGCUUUUUUUUUUUUUAAUUCAAACCCUUCAGCAACAUUAACAUUCUUGGUGCAGGUCCCUGCCCUGUCAUAGCUCUUAUCUCAAGGACAGCACCUCGACAGCAAAAUGCCACAUCCGUCACAUGGGAAUAUCAGCAACUGCCCAGUCAUCUUGAGCACAAAUAAAGUGCACAACCCACAGUUCUGUGUCCUAUCAGCUGCUUUCUAAAGCUGCUACAUACCCCUGAAAACACGAGUAAGACUGUUUGUUUCAUUAUGGCCCUUCCUGGGCACACAGGAUGAACCAAUUUCGUAUCUGUGCAGAAAGCCAGGAAAGCCAGGAGAGACAUAAUGCAGAGAGACACUGCAGCACCACACACGUGCUCCAAGUCAUGCAGAGCCACUUGUGGAGAUGGGCAUGUGCAUGUAUUCAUCUCUGUGCACAUGCACAAGCCCUGCUGGAGGUGGAGUGGGGCGAGCAGAGCUGUGGGUUAUCCCUGCCUCCUCCUGCGUCUGCUAAUCCUGCAGGCUGUGCUGCAUGGUGCUGGAUGUGUGUGUACAUCUUUUUCCCUUUGUUUUGUUUAUUACUUUUAAUCCCCUGGGGCAUAUCUCUGAGCUGAAGAACUUUAGAGCUGAUAUGGCUUUUUAAAGUGGGGAUUAUGUAAAUGCAUAUUAUGGGGCUUUCAUAAAUAGGGAUUAUUUGUCGACUACAUUUGAGCGCUUCCUUUGGAGCCAUUAAGGUCUGUUGUGUAAACAGGAAUUUAGUGACUGCCUAAUAUAAAUUUCAUUGAUUCAAUAAAAGAUCACAACAGCAUUUUUUGCAUUCAUUUUGGUCUCAUGAGAACUUAUUUCUGGACAAUUUUCAAAUAAUUACAGGACUGUAUAUGACUACAGCUAAUCGCAGUGAGCACACCUCACACAUUUGUAUUAACUGUUCUCUGUGAUUUAUUCUCUAGUUCUCUUCCUCUCUAGUUUUAUGGCUAAAUUCACUGUUGUCCCAGCCACUAACCUGUUAACUCACCAAAUUAACCUGUCGCUCACCAAAUUAAGAAUUCUUCAUGUUUAGAUGAGCAAAGAAAAAAUAAGAUUUUGCCAAAAGGCAUAGUCACCCAAAAAGUUGUAAAAAUUUCUUAUCUGUGCUCCUAGAUAUCCUAGAUGAAAGACAUUUAGGCAACAUGCUAAAAAUUCUGGGAAACACUGCCUCUUCUCAGGGCAGUUUCACACUUACAGGCAGAUUCUGCUUGGAGAAUUGACUCUGGGCCUCCUCUCAGCUGACAGGAAAUGCAGAUGUCCUUCCUUGCUGCAGAGAUGGUGCAGAGCCCCUGCUCUGUCAUUUUUGUGUUGAGAAUUACACAGGAAUAGGUAGGAGGUCAUAUUGUAGAAAGAGUAAAGAAGGUUUUAUUCAAGAGAAUAGCAUGGUUUUAUAGAGUGAAAUGAUAGAUUUGAUUUGAUUGGCUAAUUAACAAAAGCAUCUUCUUCACACAGUGUCUUUGAGAAGACCAGAAAGAUGAAGUAGAAAAGCACUACUUGUAGAUUGUUUACACUUAAAAAGUUAUCACAUCCUAACAGCUCUCUAAAAAUUCUCACAAGCCACUGUGAGAAACUCUUGCCAUUUCUCUCUCUGUCCCACGGCAUCCACACUGCUCCAGUGUCCAACCCAGAUGUUCCAGCUGGUGUCUGAGAGGGGCCCAGGCAGGAGCAGCAGCUGUUCCCUCAGUGCAGAGGCCCAGAUGUCGGGCAGUUUCCCGGGGAGCAGAUGUCCUGGCAGGACACACUCCUCACCACAGAGCAUCCCCAAGCAGCCCUGGGGCUGGCCAGGGCAGGGCAGAGCAGGGGCAGCAGCAGCAGCAGCAGCUCCCUCGCUGUGCACAGCAGCCCCAGCUCGGC